UUGUGGGGGUGACAGUUGGAAAGAAUAUGACCAGCCACAAAAGUCAUCUUCAUCAUUUAGUUAAACAAUUGAACACACCUUGUCUGGUGAUGCUGUCUGCUCAGAGCAGAGCAGAGGUGAAUGCUCUAUGAUUUCAGCACUGAGCAGCAGCUGAGUCUGCAGAGAUGCAGGUUUUGAAGACUGUGAUUGUGCCUGGUUCUUUCAGAGCAGAGGCAUUAGAGAAAGAGAGGGUUUUGAGAAUGAUGAGCUCCAAAGACUCUGCAGUGAAGAAGUUGGCUGGAGAGGAGUUGACUGAGAAGGGGUUGAAGGAGUUGAUUGAAGAGGGG
rnacentral:sRNA from 1 species